rnacentral:misc_RNA from 1 species
CUGAGGUUAUUCGGCGUCACGCCGGUCACCCGUCCUUUUGUCAUUAGAUUACUGCGCCCCUUCUCGAGAGAGGGGGGACGUGAGGGUCAUUUCCGCCGAAGUGUUGCGUCCAGCCCGAGAGGGAGGGGCGCGACCGCGGCGGGCCUUUUUUACAAACUCUGUAUGCAAGCUGAAGUCUGAAAUACAAAAAAAUGAAAAGCA